GCAUGGGUUUGGAUUUAUGGCAGGUCUGAUCCCAUGGGCCUCUCACAGUGUCCCAUGCCAAAGCAAACUGUAACCCCGAACCAUUGUCUGGCUUUACCUCGUGGGCUUCAGCACUUAAGCAGGUUGCACAGUG
rnacentral:snoRNA from 1 species